rnacentral:lncRNA from 1 species
GUGAUCUUGACUCACUGCAACCUCCGCCUCCCAGGUUCAAGUGAUUCUCCUGCUUCAGCCUCCUGAGUAGCUGGGAUUACAGGUGCGCACCAGCACGCCCGGCUAAUUUUAGUAUUUUUAGUACAGAUGGGGUUUCUCCAUGUUGGCCAGUCUGGUUUUUUACCUCAAGAGAUACUAUGAAAUCUACUAUCAGAUGUACAAAGGAAGAAAACAUAUUUCUCAACUUUGAUUUAGUUUUGCUCUGUCGCCCAGGCUGGAGAGCAGCGGCGCCAUCUACAGUCACUGUAACCUCUGCCUCCUGGGUUCAAGCGAUUCUCCUGCCUCAGCCUCCCGAGUUGGGAUUACAGCUGGGAUUACAGGCAUGCGCCACCACACCCAGCUAAUUUUGUAUCUUUAGUAGAGAUGGGGNNNNNNNNNNNNNNNNNNNNNNNNNNNNNNNNNNNNNNNNNNNNNNNNNNNNNNNNNNNNNNNNNNNAGUGCUGGGAUUACAGGUGUGAGCCAUCACACCCGGCCUUUUCAAAUAUUUUGUAGAGACGGGGUCUCACUUCAUUGCCCAGGCUGCUCUCAAACUCCUGACUUCAAGUGAUCCUCCUACCUCGGCCUCCCAAAGUGUUGGGAUUACAGGUGUGAGCCACCAUGCUCAGUCCAAUUACUGGCUAUCUCUUCCAUUUUCCAUCCUCUCCCCAUACUAACCUUCUUAGAAAAACAGUCUCAUCUUCAUUUCUCUAUUUACUCACCUGCUAUUUAUUCCUUGAAUCAUUGGCUUUUAUUUGUCAUAACUUAACUGAAACUACUUUCAUUAAGACCAUUAAGGAUGUCUUUUCGUUAAAUAUUGCACAAUAGCCACUUUGCACUUCUCAGUACCUUAUACAUGACCUCUAGGUACCACUGACACUUGUUCAACUCCUUCCUUCUUGAAAACAAACACCUUUUCCCUUAGUGUUCACAGUCAUACUCUUCUGGGUUUCUUCCUGCCUUCUAGUCUCACCAGCUUCUAUUCCCUCGUCUGUAUUUUACAUGUGAAUGCAUCUAUCUUCCACCCUUCUCUCUGCUCAUUGUAUAUACUCCUCUAUAAGAAUUCACCCACUCCCAUGGUUUCAAUGCUGAUGACUCCCAAAUGUCUACUUUUAGCUCAGAUCUCACUUCAGUAUCCACCUGCCUAUUGGAUAUUUAUAUCUACUUGGAUAUGAGUUAUGGAUAUGUACCACGAACAACAUAUUCAAAAGUUAACUCAUUAUCUUUAGUGCUUAUAAUUUGUUCUCUUGUUUGUUUCCUUUCUCAGUGUGAUUUCCACCAAGUUGCUUAAGUAAGAAUCCUAAGUGCUAUGGCUGGCUCUCUUUAUCUGCCCUGAUGCUCACAUGUAAUCACUAAAAUCUGUUAAUUUUAUGUCUUGAAUGUCUCUGGAAUUCAUCCAUAAUUUCUUCAGCCUAUUACAAAAACUCUGGUCUCUUCUCACCUAGAUGACUGCAACAGAUCCUGAAAUGGUCUGCCACCAAUACCGAAUCUUAACCCUUUCAAUCCAUUCCCACACAGCAACCAGAAUGACCUUCCUAACAAUAACCUGAUAAUUUAUGUCUCCUAUUUUAAAUCCUUCAGUGCUUAUCACUCCCCUCAGGAUAAAAUCCAAAUUGCUUACCAUGGUUUACAAGGCUCUGCACAAGCUGGCUGGCUCCUGCUUACCUCUCUAGUCUUUUCUCUAUCUACUCCCCUAACUGCCUCUCCCUCCUUGCAACCUACUCUCCAGUCAUGACCUACAUUCAGGUCUUGGGCAACUCCAUAUUUUUUUUACCUAUGGGCUUCUGCAUAUUCUCUGCAUGAAACAUCCUUUUCCCUGCCUUGAUACACCCCUUAACUCCUAAUAAUCUUUCAGAUUUCAUUUUAACUCUUACUUCCUCUGAAAAGUCCUCUUGGCAUAGUUCCUGGGACACAACAGGCACUCAAUAAAUAACUUUUCUUUCCUAAUUUUCUUCCUUUAGGUUAAUGUCAGAUUUUGCCUUUUAAUUUUGCUCAAAUUAUUUUACUAAUGAAAUACAAGUGAAAUAAGCUAACAUAUUUUAAAAAGCUCUAUUAUAAAGCUCUACCAACAGAAAAUUUUGGAUGAUUGUGCUUAUGAACUUUGCUACUACUGAAGUCCAUCGUAAAUAUGGUACUUGGAACAUUAUUCCAAAUAAAAAUCAACUUGAAAACAAAAACAAAACAAAAAAAAAGGACUGACCGAGUGCAGUGGCUCACGCCUGUAAUCCCAGUACUUUGGGAAGCCAAGGUGGGUGGAUCAUGAGAUCAGGAGAUCGAGACUAUCCUGGCCAACAUGGUGAAACCCUGUCUCUACUAAAACACAAAAAAUUAGCCAGGCAUGGUGGCGCGCGCCUGUAGUCCCAGCUACUCGGAAGGCUGGGCAGGGGAACCGCUUGAACCAGGGAGGCGAAGGUUGCAGGAAGCAGAGAUCGCGCCAUUGCAUUUCAGCCUGGUGACAGAGCAAGACUCCAUCUCAAAAAAAAAAAAAAAGACUUGUUUCUUAGCCUUUGGAGAAUACUUCUCAGGAAAAGUUUACAUGGCCAUAGAGCUAAGCUACAUAUGCACCUAUUUGAGCUGUAAGGAGGCAUAAAAUACUGAAUCAUAAACAACCGAUCAAAUACCUGACAGUUUCUGACCAACGGGAAUGGUAAUUUCAUCAAUUCAACCUGAUACAAUAUAAAUGGUAUUGAAUAAAAAUAUGUAGAAAAACAGGUAAUCAGAUCAAGAAUUAUAAAGAUUAUAUGUAUAUGCACUUAAUAAAGCUAUAUAUUAUGAGGCCUGGUGUGGUGGCUCACGCCUGUAAUCCUAACACUUUGGGCGGCCAAGUGGGGUGGAUAACCUGAGGUUGGGAGUAUGAGACUAGCCUGAUGGAGAAACCCCAUCUCUACUAAAAAUACAACAUUAUCCGGGCGUGAUGGUGCAUGCCUAUAAUCCCAGCUACUCGGGAGGCUGAAGCAGGAGAAUUGCUUGAACCCGGGAGGCGGAGGUUGCAGUGAGCUGAGAUGGCACCAUUGCACUCCAGCCUGGGCAACAAGAGCAAAACUCUAUCUCAAAAAAAAAAAAAAAAGCUAUGUAUUAUGUUACUAAGAAAAACAAAAUGCUCAUAUGUUCAUACAAAGAAAUUCAAAUUUCUGGUAAUUCAGAGUCUCUGAAACCAAAAUCCAAGUUUAAGAAGCUCUGCAAUGGCAGCAUUUUUAACUAUAAGGCAAAAAUCAAAGUAUGAUAUUUAAUAAAAACUGACUCCCUGGGAAAAUACAGGAUAUUCAUAUUAGGCACUUUAAACAUCUUUUAUUUAGGUCUUGAUUUCAACAUUAAAAGUAACCAAAUGACUGUUCAAAGUAAAGCCUGAUGGGUCAAUAUGUUUUCUGAUUUUGGCCUAGUUGAAACCAUAGGAACAGAAGGGUUUUAGAAUAACUUGGAGUCACAUUAGUUAAAUUACCAGUUUAGAAGCUAUUGAAAAUGUUCCUGAUAUUUAAUGUCAUACAAGUUUUGGAAAAAUAAAAUUAUUUAUCCAAUCUAAUGUGCUUUAUUAACAAAUCUUAUUGGUACACUCACAGAAAUAAACCACAUACAGAGCUAACAAGUUAUUUUUUGCUUGCAACUGCUGCAUCUAUUUUAAAGCCAGUUUCAGUUUCACUGAAAUCACUGGUUACAGUUCCUUGAAAUUAAAGGAAAGUGAUUAUUUUGGGGGGUAAUUAAAUGGGAACAUGUCCAUUCAAAAAAGACACAACUAUAUACAACACCAACUUUGAAAAUAAUUUAAAAAUUUUUAAAACUUGAUUACUUUUGGCAGAAAUUCUAUCUUUAAUCUUAAACAGGCUAUGGAUAAGGAGUUAAACUUUCUUGCCUAUUCCACGCCUGCAGUCACCUUUGUCCAUGAAUGCUUUGUCUAACACAUAAGUCUCAGUCUAUAAGUCCAUCAUCUCCUAAAAUUUCCAACUGCCAGCACAAGCUGCUGUAAUGAUGGCAUGAUGACUCACAUCCUUACCUACACAUGCACUUCCAUUAUUCAUUGUAACACCUCGUCAUCUACAGCCUCUCAUGGGUUGUGGCAGAUCAGAGUGGGGAACGGGGAGGUGGUAGGAACAGUGGGAUAGGUCUUAGUGUUUUUUCAAAACUACAAGCUAUUGUAAAAUCGAUUUAGUGGGUUGUGGUCAGCCUUUUGGUUUGGGGAUUUUCUUGGGAUCCGGGGAGAAGUUUAAAAUAGAAUACAAUACAAUACAAUAGGUUGGGCAAUGGUGGCUCACACCUGUAAUCCCAGCACUUUGGGAAGCUGAGGUGGACGGAUUACUUGGGGUCAGGAGUUCGAGACCAGCCUGGCCAACAUGGUGAAACCCUGUCUCUACUAAAAAUACAAAAAUAGCCAGGCGUGGUGGCACAUGACUGUAGUCCCAGCUACUCAGGAGGCUGAGGCAGGAGAAUUGCUUGAACCUGGG